GGGCUCGUGGCCUAGCUUGGAUAAGGCAGCGCCCUCCUAAGGCGAAGACCGGGAGUUCGAAUCUCCCCGGGCCCGCCA
rnacentral:tRNA from 1 species